CUAUACAUGACUCUGCGCAUAUCAAUAAGCGGAGGAAAAGAAACUAACAAGGAUUCCCUUAGUAACGGCGAGUGAAGCGGGAAGAGCUCAAAUUUGAAAUCUUCAAGGUUCUACCUUGACGAAUUGUAGUUUGUAGAAGUGUUUUCUGUUAGUAGAGUGGCAAAAGUUCUUUGGAAUAGGACAUCAUAGAGGGUGAGAAUCCCGUAUUUGGUCAUUCUUUCUAGCUUUGUGAUACACUUUCAACGAGUCGGAUUGUUUGGGAAUGCAGUCCAAAAUGGGUGGUAAAUUUCAUCUAAAGCUAAAUAUUGGCGAGAGGCCGAUAGCGAACAAGUACCGUGAGGGAAAGAUGAAAAGAACUUUGAAAAGAGAGUUAAACAGUACGUGAAAUUGUCAAAAGGGAAGCGUUUGACACCAGUGUUGUUAGUUGAAAAUCAAUUCAAUAGUUUUUGAUUCUAAGUAGUAUUGACUUCAUCAGCUUGCUGCUUUCUUCUCAGAAAUUAUUGAAUGCACUUUUCAGUUAACAAGUCAACAUCAAUUUCUUUUGUUGUAAAAGGGUAAGAGGAAGGUGGCUUGCGCUUCGGCUCAAGUGUUUAUAGCCUUUUAUCUCUGCAAUCGGAGAGAUUGAGGUCUGCAGCGUAGAUCCUUCGGGGUUAGAUACAUUGGUGCUAAGCUAUAGCCUUGUAUAGACAACUUGUUGACUAUGCUCAGUCAUGUAGCUUACUCGCUGAUGCUAUUUUACCUACGCUUAGGAUGUUGACACACGCGCGUGCUCG
rnacentral:rRNA from 1 species